GAGAAAAGCAAAUAAUGGACCAUAAAUGGUGCCAACACGAGUGAUUCUAAAACCUUUUCCAAAUCCUCAGAGCCAUUACAGCUUGGGCAGAACAGAAAAGGAAGGAACUCAACGAAGUACAGCAUCUUUUCAGGCAGAGAGUUCAAUGCGCGUCAAUCAGAUGACCACUGCUGCCUGG